CCUACGUGGGGCUGCAGUGGGGAAUAUUGGACAAUGGGCGAAAGCCUGAUCCAGCCAUGCCGCGUGUGUGAAGAAGGCCUUCGGGUUGUAAAGCACUUUCAGUGGGGAAGAAAGCCUUGGGGCUAAUACCCUCGAGGAAGGACAUCACCCACAGAAGAAGCACCGGCUAACUCCGUGCCAGCAGCCGCGGUAAUACGGAGGGUGCGAGCGUUAAUCGGAAUUACUGGGCGUAAAGCGCGCGUAGGCGGUCUGAUAAGCCGGUUGUGAAAGCCCCGGGCUCAACCUGGGAACGGCAUCCGGAACCGUCAGGCUAGGGUGCAGGAGAGGAAGGUAGAAUUCCCGGUGUAGCAGUGAAAUGCGUAGAGAUCGGGAGGAAUACCAGUGGCGAAGGCGGCCUUCUGGACUGACACUGACGCUGAGGUGCGAAAGCGUGGGUAGCAAACAGGAUUAGAUACCCCAGUAGUC
rnacentral:rRNA from 1 species